GCAUAAUGAUGAUGAACUAAACAUAUAUUCCGAUUGUUUUCAUGAAAGGAAUACAUAACCUCCUACUCAUACUGA